rnacentral:tRNA from 1 species
CGAGGUGUAGUCCAGGGGUGGACCCGUGUCUAGCGUCCAUGAGGCCCUGGGUCCAAUCCCCAGCAUCAAAA